CAGGAAUAGGGUUGGUGACCCCUGGUUUAGACCACGUCAGUGUUAGGCCUUAGUUCAAUUAGGACAUUUAAGUAGCUUUUAUAAACGUGUCUUAGAAAAAUACAUUACUGGUGUGCAUCUUCAGAUGAAACAUCGAAACUGACAUAUUUUAAGAUCUGCUAUCAGUGAGAUGUGAAGUUGUGUUGUUGUUAAUUUUUGUUCUUAUUUUCCUAAGCAGAUUCUGUCAUUUCACGGUGAACUACUCCCCUUCGGGAUGCCAUUAAUCACAUCCUUGCAGGAAGAGACGAGAAUUCAAAGUCAGAACUCAAAUAUAUGAAUCCAGUUAAAGAUACAGAAUUGAGAGCAGUCAGUCAUCCAAUCCCUCACCAAACUGAGCAUGAGGUGCAUUGUGUCUGAGGUCAGUGUGGCACUUCAUCUGCCAAAGAGGAAUUUGGAGAAGUUGGUGUCCAGCACCAGGAAGUGUCACCCGCUGUUCUUCUUCACAGACGUUACCAGUGAGGCCGAAUCAAGAUCAGCGGUUCAGUCACCCAGAGCUGCAACUCUGCUUGUUAGGCGAGUUUGAAUUUACCUUUGCUUUGACAUGGACCAGUGGUUGGAGUACUGUGAUGUUCCAUUAGAACACAUUUUCAGUGUUUUUAGUAGCUGUGGUGAAAAUGUCCUCUAUUCAGUAUGGAUGGUCUUUUCUAACCAUGGUGUCCCCCCAACACGUGUGUUUUCCUGUGUGUGCCACACACUGGACUUCAGUGGAAGAAUCAGGAU